rnacentral:lncRNA from 1 species
GUGAAGACCACAGUUUCCUGUCGCGUGGAUGUGUUUCCUCUCUGGCCAUUGCCAUCCGCCCAAAUCUACAGACAUCCCGCAUGUUCCCGGGCUCGUCUCCCCAAUACAGGGCACCAAGGCUGUAGACUGCGCAGCCCUCCUGGAGACAGAUGGAAGCUCCUUGGGUCGACAGAUUACAGCUUCUGGAACCCCCUACUCCCUUCAACUCCGAGAUGGACACCCACUGUCCAGGGAGAGGAUGCCUGGAAAUAACAGCUGGGAUCUACAGUGGCCAAAGAGUUGUCUCCGUCUUGCUACAUCGACAAACUGGUGCUCCUGAGUGAGGAUUGUGCCCUGGGAUGGGGGAUUCAGUUUCUUCAUUUAUAGUUGGAAGUGGGUGAAGUGCCAGGAGCGACGGUACACUCCAGAGUGCUGUGCCCUGAUGGGCCUUUGAGUGGCCAGUGCAGUGGAUCAUCAGCCCUGUCUCCCAAGAGCUCCAGUCCCUUCUCCGGAGAGGAAGUGGGUCCACUGGCAGCUCAGGAGGCCAUAGCAGAUUGUGGGGCUCUGUGCAGUUGAUGUUAGUUAACCACUGGAUCCACGUGUUCACCGUGGCUUGCGCCCCUGCAUCCGAAAGUGAUCUUGGCUGCCGUGUCCUGGUCAUUGGUAGUGCAGGGAAAGGAUGCGGAAAGACGGGCUCCGAGCUCGGGGCGUCUGGCCUGGAGCUUUCCUACACUUGUGUCUUGCUCUGCAGCCUUACGGAAGUGUGGGUGGCGCUUUCUGGAAGCUGCACAAGUCAGUGCUGGGUCUUCGCAACUUGGUGUUCUGUUUCCAGAAACUUGGGGUGUUUGCAUGUGCUAGGUCAGCACAGAUUUCCAAAGGAUCUCUAGGUGGGUUCCCUAACUUUUCACAGAGGAGCAGAAGGUAGAUGACAGGAGGAGAGGUGGGGCUGGACUGAGGGGAGCUGUGUGUGCCAGGGUGGGGUGGGGCGGGGCGUGUAACAGCCCUUAAGCGUGUGUUGAGAGAAGGAGCUCCCUGGUACAGAGUGUGCAGCUCCCUUCCCAGCCUGUGGUCCCCGUGGCCCAAUGAGUUUUUGUAUCACUUGUGAGCCACUGGUCUUAAAAUGCAUGGUUUGCAGACCAAAAUGCAGUCCAACAUUAUUUGUUUCAUGUGUCUAUGUGAAUGCACAUAUGUAUGUAUGUCAUUUGUGCCUGGUGCCUGUGAAGAGUUUAUUGGGGGCUAGGAAUUUCAGAGGGUGACUCUUCAGGAUCUAUAUGGCUUCAGGCACGGCCAUGUUGGACAGUAGCUGGGAGCUCACAUACGUGAUAGGACCACCAGGCAGGGAGCUAACUGAAUGGCAUGGGCUUUUGGAGCCUCAAAGCUCUCCUGCCCCACCCCCAUGAUACCUCCACUAACAAGGCCAUACUUCCUAAUGGUCCCAAGCAGUUCUACCAACUAGGGACCAAAUAUUCAAGUAUAUGAGCCUAUAGGUGGAGGAACUUCCACACAGAUCCAAACUUUUAACAAAACAAAAAGCAGGAAAGCCAACUUUAUCAGAAGUUACAAUGUAAUCAGUGUCAGAAGGAAGAGAAUGGAAGUGGGAGACUGAGGUGGGGGGUAUGCUGAGGAUAUGGGAAGUGGGAGAUUGCGUGGGGGGGGGCUGAGGGUGUGGCUUUCAGUUGAGUGUCCAGCAUGGGAGGAGAAAGGGGGCUCUGGGAAGAAGCUGCUGCAGCCACCUUGUGUUCCCCCCACCCCCAGCUAAUAGCUGUGUCUUGGUUCCUGGUGAGAUCUUGGUUGACUCGGGGGUCCUGAGUGUGGCUUGUCUCUGCAGGAUUGUCACGUGUGCUCAACAGUCCUCCUCGGCUUUCCAGAAGAGGCUGGAACAGGGCCCUUGAAGAUGUUUGUGGACAUCAGAGGGCCAAAGACGACACAAAGUGAAACUGGAGACACCGCCCCCCCUUGGCAUCAUGAAACUGCCGAUGUUACUGGCUCAUGCAUGGGAGACACCAGCAUACAAAGUCUUGACACCAACACCUCAGAGGGCUGUGUUCUGUCCCCGUGACCAUCAUCUAGUGCCUGGAAAGACUAGUGACAAGAACUUGUUGCCAACUUCCUAUUACCUCCCUAACAGUUGUGCAAUAAACCCCAUAGGUUAAUUCA